GUUACAAAGCCUGAGCAUCACUCCAGCAACUGAAAACUUCUCUUUUUUCCUGUUGGGAUGUGGAGCAUCACAGCAAAAGGUUUGUCCUCUCCUGGACGUCCUGGCUGUGUCCUCACACACCUGAGAGCUCUGCUGCUGAACCAGGUCAUCUAAAGGGCAGAGCUUUCUCUUCAUUAAAUGCAAUGGAAGAUGAAGAGCCCUGCAGCAC
rnacentral:lncRNA from 1 species